rnacentral:rRNA from 1 species
GAUGAACGCUGGCGGCGUGCCUAAUACAUGCAAGUCGAGCGAACAGACGAGGAGCUUGCUCCUCUGACGUUAGCGGCGGACGGGUGAGUAACACGUGGAUAACCUACCUAUAAGACUGGGAUAACUUCGGGAAACCGGAGCUAAUACCGGAUAAUAUAUUGAACCGCAUGGUUCAAUAGUGAAAGACGGUUUUGCUGUCACUUAUAGAUGGAUGCGCGCCGCAUUAGCUAGUUGGUAAGGUAACGGCUUACCAAGGAAACGAUGCGUAGCCGACCUGAGAGGGUGAUCGGCCACAGUGAAGCGGAGACGUGGUCCAGACUCCUACGGGAGGCAGCAGUGGGGAAUCUUCCGAAGGGGGAGAAAGCCUGACGGAGCAACGGCGCGUGAGUGAAGAAGGUCUUCGGAUCGUAGAACUCUGUUAUGAGGGGAGAACAAAUGUGUAAGUAACUAUGCACGUCUUAAGGGUACCUAAUAAGAAGGCAAGGGCUAACUACGU